rnacentral:rRNA from 1 species
CCUACGGGGGGCAGCAGUGGGGAAUAUUGGACAAUGGGGGCAACCCUGAUCCAGCCAUGCCGCGUGUGUGAAGACGGCCCUCGGGUUGUAAAGCACUUUCAGUGAGGAAGUACGGCUGGUGGUUAAUACCCAUUAGGAAAGACAUCACUCACAGAAGAAGCCCCGGCUAACUCCGUGCCAGCAGCCGCGGUAAUACGGAGGGUGCGAGCGUUAAUCGGAAUUACUGGGCGUAAAGCGCGCGUAGGUGGCUUGAUAAGCCGGUUGUGAAAGCCCCGGGCUCAACCUGGGAACGGCAUCCGGAACUGUCAAGCUAGAGUGCAGUAGAGGAAGGUAGAAUUCCCGGUGUAGCGGUGAAAUGCGUAGAGAUCGGGAGGAAUACCAGUGGCGAAGGCGGCCUUCUGGACUGACACUGACACUGAGGUGCGAAAGCGUGGGUAGCAAACAGGAUUAGAUACCCCAGUAGUC